AUGUCGUCAACCGCUGCCGGCGGCAAGCCAUCGCGGUCCGCCUCCGCCCUUGCCGCCGACACGGCGACCGGAUCCCACCACUUCACGAUCGACCUCUACUCGCGCACCAAGGGCAUCCCCACAGGCGAGUCCCUCAAGUCCUGCCCUUUCACCGUGGGAGGCCACCGCUGGCUCGUCCUCUACUACCCCAAUGGCGACCAGGCGGAGAACGCCGGCUACAUAUCCCUCCGCCUCAUCCUCGCCGAAAAUACCUCCAGGACGGUGAGGGCGCAGCACCAGUUCCGCUUCGCCGGCGAGGCGGAGAAUCAGGCGCUGCCGUUGGAGGCGGAGCCGCUGAACAACUUCGCCGGCCUGGCGAGCUGGGGGAACUCCAAGUUCAUCCGAGGGGAGGCCCUGGAGAAAUCGAAGCAUCUCAGGGGGGACUCCUUCGCCGUCCGGUGCGACCUCAUCGUCGUCAGCGACUUCCGCGCGGUGGAGACGCCUGAGCCUGCCGCUCCGGCAUUCGUCACCGUGCCGCCGUCCGACCUGCACCUGCACCUGGGUAACCUUCUCCUCGCAGAGAAGGGCGCCGAUGUGGUGUUCGAGGCCGGAGGCGAGACCUUCGCCGCGCACCGCUGCCUGAUCGCGGCCCGGUCGCCGGUGUUCAGUGCGGAACUCUUUGGCGAGAUGAAGGAGAGCGUCGACACAUCGGCUGUCGUCAAAAUAGAUGACAUGGACGCGCAGGUGUUCAAGGCAUUGCUCUAUUUUGUGUACACCGACACCUUGCCGGAGAUGAAGAGGGAAGAAGCAGGGGAAGAAGCCAUGUCUCAGCAUCUGCUCGUCGCAGCCGACAGGUAUAAUCUGGACAGGCUAAAGCUGAUCUGCGAAGACAAACUUUGCAGGUGCAUCCAAGUGAGCACUGUGGCCACAAUCUUGGUGUUGGCUGAGCAACACCACUGCAGUGGACUGAAGAAGGCAUGCUUCGAUUUUCUCAGCUCUCAGGCGAAUCUGAAGGCGGCCAUGGCCAGUGACGGCUUUGAGCAUCUGAGCCAAAGCUGCCCUGCUAUCAUGAAGGAGUUGAUCUCUAUGCUCAGCGCCUUGGUUCCGUGA
rnacentral:rRNA from 1 species